GUUGUGCGCAUGUGGAUUACAUCAUGUCAAAGACGUAAUCGAGUCAUUUUUGUGCCUUGUGCUGCGCUGACGAUUGAUGCAGAGCGGCGUAUGCACGAGGAAACUCGUACACUGACUAGCGGUUUGGACAACAAUAGCAGAGACAAUAUCUAUGAAGAAGACAUUUUGGAGUACCAGUUUCUGCACAAGUGAAGAUAUUUGUUAAUGCAAUACGUAUACGUAAUGGUGGUACUAUAGGAGUUGAAAAAAGGAAAUUAAGGUAUAUUUCCACUUGACCUUGAAUUGGGUGGACGGAAGUAGCAAACAUGAGACAUAUAUAUAUUUAUACAUAUAUAUAUAUAUAUAUAUAACAGACGAAUUUUGAUUAAGCGUCAUAGAAAAUAAAGAAUCUAAACUAUAUAUAAUUUGUAAUGGCUAUACAUAAAAGAAGGAAAUAGGAUUAAGGCCAUCAAAUUUCCAUGUGGUAUUUAAUAUCAUUCGAAAACGUGAUCUAUAUAGGUUUCGGCAGGAAAAUAAGAAAUGAUGGCGAAAAAGCGUGCUUUUUUAACGCAGGGUGUAUGUAGAUUGAGAAAAAAGAAUUCUCGUUAAUUCCAUAUAUGUGUUUUAUCGAUACUUCUUGUUCUACCUUUGUUUUUUAUUUUAAAAUAAUCGCGAUAAUUAUGUAUCAUUUUCGAUUGUAUAUAUUUUCACACAGUUUGUCAGUUUAAACAAUAAUGGAUAUUUUCAGUUGGGCUUAAAGUUUUUCAUUGUUGAUCUUAAAAGUUUUUGAAAGUAAAAAAAUUCUUUUUUUUUCAACUGUUUCAUUUGUUACUUUUUUCAAAUAUUAAUUAUCAUGUUAUAAUAUGGCUGUAUUUUUAAUUAUACGGGUAUAUGAACAUCAAAUUUACGAAAUGCAAAAUGGAAACUAAGAUUUUGGUACUGAGGAUGGAACUGAGGUAAAGGAGCAAAAAGUGUCAGUAUAAUACGAGAUGAUAUUCGCAAAAUUCCUGAUUUAUUAGUACAACUUAUGACUGCAAAUACGUCUGUAAUGAAGUGUUAAUUCAUGCUAUGAAAAUUAAUUAGUAUGAAGCAUAUUAUACAAUUGUUGUAAGUAUUAUCGUUUCACCUGAAUUUUACGCUUAAAUGAAAAAGAAAAAUUGAAACUUUUGUAACUAUAAAUAACACAGAACACUUUUUAUCGAUCUUUAUAUGAAAAUAUUCUAUUGGAGUUUUCGCGUUAAUUCAAUCAAGCAGCUAUAGAAUAUUUAAAACGUAAGUGAUAAUAAUUUCACCAUUAUUCUUCUAGUUUAAACAAACACCAUGCGUCGUUGAAUUUUCUUUAUACUAAAUAACUGAGAACUCGAUGUAUGUACGAUUUUAUUUUUCCAUACUACUUUAACCGAUUACUCGUUAAGGGAAGGCAAUACGUAAAUAAAUUGUAAAGAUAGGAUUAUAAUAAUUGGUGAAACACUUUCUCCCCCGAUUCUGUGUGUAAGUUUAUACGAGUAAGUGUGAUGAUACUGCAUUGUCAUGUGCAUGCACGAGUCUCCUCCCUCACUAUUAGAAUUACGAAUAAAAAUGGAAAAAGGAAGAAUGGAAAAAUAUGAAGUAAACCUCGACGAGUCAAUAUGAAUCGAAUGAAAGUUUACUCAUUGAGACGCAUUCGAACGCUAUUCCGACUGAAGUAUUUUAACGUCAUUUAGAGUACCAUAGUACAAGGCGACAAGAUAGUCAAUCGAUAUCGCAUUUACAGACAGAUAGUUCAUUCCUUGUAUUUUUUAUCCCUUUGCGAGACAAAUGUUUGCGGACUUUUUUAUCAAGGCUACGACCGCGUACACGGUGUCGUCGAUACUCUAUUUGCGAUGUUCAACGAUUUUUACACUAUUUAUUAUAUAUUAUGCGAGACUAAGAGAUUUGUAAAAAGAAGAAAAGAAAGAGAAAACGCGAAGCUGAAGAAAAGAAAGAGUAAGAAAGAAAAUGGCGCAUUCGUUAGACCGAUAAAAUAAACGACUUCUUCAAUGUGUGUGUUUCGUGGAAACAUUGCGAGAUGAUAUGACAGAUUAUGUAUGUCGAGACGAUCUUCUCUACCGCCUUUUUUCUGUCGCGAAACUGACUGCGAAAAAGAAAGGAAACCAAAAUGUAAUGCGAACAAGUUUAUAUCCAUAGUAUACACGAUUACGUGGAUGUAACGAAUGAUCACAAUGGCUCAGAUUAUUCCGCAAGAUCAGAUAAAGAUCUACAGGAAGCGUAAGCUAAAAUAGAACGACGAAAGAAUUCAAUACAUGUAGUAGUGUGUGGAUAUACAGGGAAAUAGAUUGUAAAGAUUUUUAUGAC
rnacentral:lncRNA from 1 species